rnacentral:lncRNA from 10 species
GCCCCUUGGCCCCAGUGCUCAUUCCUGGCCAUCACAGGCCCAGAGCACAUGACGAAACCCAUCCCAAGCCCCCAGACCAGACGCCAAGAGGAGGGGGUGGAGGCAGCAAGGCUGGAGGCAUGUGUAGAAUAAAUAGAACUUUAUUCUUUAUCCAGUAGAUCUCAGUGGAAAGCCCAACAGUAACAGGUGCACCCACGGGCUCCAGGGGAAGGGGCCCCAACCCCUGGUGAAGGAGGUCGGGGCAGAGCCAGCUCCCCCAGCUGGGGGUGCAGGGGUGAGGGGAGACCCCCCUGUAGGCCCGUCCUGCGGGGUAAGGAGGGGGCACGGGGGUGGGACAGGUUGGGGGUGGGGGGCAGGCCAGGGAAAUGGAGGAACUCGGGCCAAGUGUGUGUCGGCCCAUCUACUGUCCAGUGUGUGUGUGUUUGUGUGUGUGCGCACGCGCAUGUGUGUGGUGUCUGGGGGCCCUAUGGGGGUGCUGGUGGCUGAGAAUUAAUACCUGGGGUUGGUAUG